rnacentral:rRNA from 1 species
CAGCACCUCAAGUGGUCAGGAUGAUUAUUGGGCCUAAAGCAUCCGUAGCCGGCGCUGUAAGUUUUCGGUUAAAUCUGUACGCUCAACGUACAGGCUGCCGGGAAUACUGCAGCGCUAGGGAGUGGGAGAGGUAGACGGUACUCGGUAGGAAGGGGUAAAAUCCUUUGAUCUAUUGAUGACCACCUGUGGCGAAGGCGGUCUACCAGAACACGUCCGACGGUGAGGGAUGAAAGCUGGGGUAGCAAAUCGGAUUAGAUACCCGAGUAGUCC